rnacentral:rRNA from 1 species
GAUGAACGCUGGCGGCAUGCCUAACACAUGCAAGUCGAACGGCAGCACAGUAAGUGCUUGCUCUUACGGGUGGCGAGAGGCGUACGUGACACGAGUACAUCCGAAUCUACAUUUUCGUGGGGGAUCUGGUAGGGAAACUUACGAUAAUACCGCAUACGACAUACGAUUGAAAGCAUGUGGUCUUCGGACCUGGCGGGAUAUAAUGGGGCGGGGUCGGAUUAGCUAGUUGACGGGGUAAAGGCCCACCAAGGCGACGAGGGGUAGCCGGCCUGAGAGGGUGAACGCGCCAAAGGCGACUGAGACACGGCACAGACGCGUACGGGAGGCAGCAGUGGUGAAUAUUGCACAACGGUCGCGAGCCUGAUGAAAAAACCUCGGGUGAGGGAUGCCGUCCUGCGGGUUGUAAAAAGCUUCUAGCAGGGAAGAAGCGAAAGUGACGGUACCUGCAGAAAAAGCGCCGGCUAACUACGUG